AAAAUAAAAUGGACAGUUUUAUAAAUAAUACUGGGACAUUAGACUACCCUCUAGAAAAAAACACAUGGGUGUGUAUCAAGCUUACCUUGCAAUCAAAAUAAAUCUCAAAUGAUCUAACUAAAGAAGCUAACAUUGAAAUAAACUGUUCAAGUAUUAGAAGAAAAAAUCAAUCAAAAAUAAUCUUGGGAUACAGAAAUCCUUCCAAGGGGUCCCUUCCCAAACCAAAAACUCAAAAGCUUAUAAAAGGAUACAAUUGACUUAGCAUAUAAAGAAAAAACAAAAACUAAUUAAAGGCAACUGUAAGAGUAAAGGCUAUUAUAUUCACAAUAUACAUGAAGAGUUAAUGCCCAGAAUAUAUAAAGAAAUCUUACAAAGCAAUAAGAAAAAGGCAAGUAAGUAAAAAGGAAAAAUGAGAGCAGUGUAUGAUGGGUGGUUCACAAAAGAAUUACAAGUGAUUAAAAUACAUGAAAAGAUAUUCCACUUCUUCAGUUAGUCAACAGUAACAUAGAAUUUUUCCCCCUUUAGCCUGUCAAAGAAGUUAGUUUCCCUGGAAAGUACACAUUAUCGCUGAUCUACUCCCUCUUCACAGGAGGAAAUGGAAGAGGACUGGUGUUGUGACAUAACUGGUUAUGCUGCCACCUGCAAUGCCAGCACCCCAUAUGGGCACCAAUUUGAUUCCCGGCUGUUCCACUUAUGAUCCAGCUCUUGGCUAAUGAGCCUGAGAAAGCAGCAGAAAGAUGGUCCAAGUGCUUAGGCCCCUGCACCCACGUGGGAGACCUGGAUGAAGCUCCCAGCCCCUGACUUGGGCCUGGCUAUUGCGAACCAGGGGGUCAAAGAGCCAUCGAUCAAUCUCUCCUCUAACUCUUUCAAAAAAAAAAAAAAAAAAAUUUACUGAAAACAUAUGUCCAGUACCUAGACACAAAAGUACACUGAAUAUAAAGUAAGUCUUCAAAACUGAAUGCCUAACACUAAAUACAGGGCUUAGUAUGUGCCAAACACUAUUCUAAGUACUUUACAUAAAUUAACUCAUGUAUUCCACAUAACAAUCCUUGGACUUCUCACAAAUGUGAAAACUGAGGCCAAGAGAGGGUUAAGUAAUUUGGCCUAGAUCUGACAGAUAGUAAGUGGUAGAGCUAAGAUCCAAACUCAGGCAAUCUGAUUCUAUGCUGCAUACACUGCAUACUCUCAGCAGAAGUUUAAUAAAUAAAAACAAGAAUUCA
rnacentral:lncRNA from 1 species